CUAAAAUAUAACAAUAACAAUGUAUUAAACGUGAUGUCCGUCUUAUUUAAAAGAAUUUUAUGAUUAGUAUUUUUAUUAUUAUUAGAUGAUAAAACAUAAUUAGUACUUGAUGUGUAACUAUUUAUUUAUAAAAAAAUCAUAAAUAUUUCAAAUUAGAUAAACGGACAGUCAAAUGUUGGACACGGAAACCCACAACUGUACUUAAA
rfam:Oryza sativa (indica cultivar-group) chromosome 2, whole genome shotgun sequence.